rnacentral:rRNA from 1 species
UUGGGCUGCAGGCAGAAGAUGUGAUUUUCUUUUCGCAGGGGGUUUUACCGUGUCUUUCGCCAGAGGGGAAAAUCUUGUUGGAGAAACCAUAUCAAUGCUCCAUG